GAAUAUUGGACAAUGGGCGAAAGCCUGAUCCAGCCAUGCCGCGUGUGUGAAGAAGGUCUUCGGAUUGUAAAGCACUUUAAGUUGGGAGGAAGGGCAGUAAGCGAAUACCUUGCUGUUUUGACGUUCCCGACAGAAUCAGCACCGGCUAACUCUGUGACAGCAGCCGCGGUAAUACAGUGGGUGCAAGCGUGAAUCGGAAGUAAUGGGCGUAAAGCGCGCGUAGGUGGUUCGUUAAGUUGGAUGUGAAAGCCCCGGGCUAAACCUGGGAACUGCAUCAAAAACUGGCGAGCUAGAGUAGGGCAGAGGGUGGUGGAAUUUCCUGUGUAGCGGUGAAAUGCGUAGAUAUAGGAAGGAACACCAGUGGCGAAGGCGACCACCUGGGCUCAUACUGACACUGAGGUGCGAAAGCGUGGGGAGCAAACAG
rnacentral:rRNA from 1 species